UUCAUAACUUCCAAUUGUAACUGCUACCCUUAAAUUGAAGCGUUGCGCUAAACAACUGUCAAAAAUCCUCAUGGCCAUACAAUUUGUAUGGGACAUCCCAUGACAGGGCGUUAUAUGAUGAAGUUAGAUAUGACAGAAUAAAGCGUGAAAGAAAGGAGAUAAAAAUGACAAAGAGGAAUAGGCAAAUGGGAGAAAAGUUUGACAAGUAAAUUUAAAAUUCUAAUUUUAAAGAAGAUGGAUACAUUUACGGAAAAGUUAAUUUAGUUGGUGGGGCACAUCCAUGCCUGUUCAACAAAAGGAAACCAAGUAUAAGGACGUCAAAUACAAGGAAAAGUUAUGGGAAGAAAUUAGCACCGAGCUGAAUACUCCGGGAGGUCGCUGUUUUACUUACCUCUUAUAAUGAACAACUACAGAUUUGAUCAGCAGCCGUUAUAGAUUAAAUAGAAAAAGGAGAAGGAAAAUACUUAUUUAUUUAAGGUUAUUAGUUCUUGAAAAAUAAAUAAGGUGUGGAGGAAUCAAAGCUGGUGAAAGAGUAUUAAAAUCUUUGCUCAGACAUUGGUUAUGCACGAGCACAAUUAAAUGAGUCUAGAUGAUCUUAAAGGGGCUUUACGACUAUUAAACUUAAUUUUUUAUUUAA